rnacentral:lncRNA from 1 species
UUCAAGGUGCUGAUUUGCAAGUGUGUGAACAGUGCUGGUUGAGGGACAAUGGUUCCUGUCCUCUUGGACUUCUGCAAAAGGAGAAGCGUUAGCAAAGUGAGGAAACUCACCGUCUGGGGAUCAGUGAGCAGUCUGGCUUCUCCUAAUCUACUGGUGGGACAUCUGGGUUGUCAUGUGGACAGCUGAAAAUGUUAGCUCUAAGGGGAAAUGUCUGCAUCAGUCCUGCGCACCUUGGUAUCUCUGAAGCCCAGCGUAUGACAGGUGAUCAACAAACACAGCUAAAUGAAUAACAAGUGAAUGUAAGUCUAUUCAGUUCUCUGAAUUCUUAUGAUGUUUUAUUAUAAUU